rnacentral:lncRNA from 1 species
GUCACGUGCGUGCCAAAUGAGUUGGAGAAAAACAGAAAAUUUGUUAGAGCAAGGGGACACGUGGAGCAUCAAAGAAAAAACGUGAGGCAGAAGAAGGAAAAUGUCACAUUAAAGGACUACGUGCUGUAAGGGAGAGGAGGCUUUUUGGUACCUUCUAUUCUGUCACUCUUCCCUCUUUUCUAUAAUGAUUCUUUUUUCUCUGUUCUGAUAUAUCCACAUUCUCUGUUACCGGUGCACACUGCAGAAUGAAUGCUCGAAUUUCCUUUUCUUGAAAUUUAUAGUUGCUCGAAUUUGCUUUGGCUAAGUUGUAUGAAGAAAGAUAUUUUCCUGUGACUAAAACUAGUACUGGACCUAUUAGGCGUUAUUCUCCAAUUUCGUCAUCAUCAUUGGUCGUUAAUCAGAAUCAAAAUAGGAGCAUUGCCAAACAUUCUUUACCACCAUUAUUACCUACCCCGCAUGUGCAGCCAUUGAAAGAGGUGAAUGUCAAGAAAAUUAGUCCAGCGGAGAUGCAAAUUCGUAGAGAAAAAGGUUUAUGUUACUUCUGUGAUGAUAAAUUCACUUUUAAUCAUCGUUGUCCUAAUAGACAAUAUCUAUUCUUGCAAUUGGAGGAGACAUUAAUUGACCCAGCUGCCGAUCCACCUCCUGAACCGGAUCCACCAGUGUGUUGUGAUGACCCAAUUAUCGAUGAUCACCAUUUAUCCUUAAAUGCUUUAAAAGGGGGAACAGGAAUAGGAACUAUACGAUUUACAGCUUAUGUUGAUAAGCUACCUGUGACUGUUUUGGUUGAUGGAGGUAGCUCCGAUAAUUUUUUACAGCUGCGUAUUGCAAAGUUUUUGAAACUUCCAGUGGAACCAGCUUCAUUGUUUAAUGUCAUGGUGGGAAACGACAAUUAUAUGGCAGCAGAAGGACUGGUGCAAAAUCUGGUGGUGCAGGCCCAAGGAAAUACAUUUCAAUUACCCGUGUAUCUUCUUCCGAUUUCUGGGGCAGAUUUGAUUUUAGGGGCUCAGUGGUUAAAAACAAUUGGACCGCAUGUGGCAGAUUAUGAAUCCUUGAAUUUGAAAUUUUUGCUUGCUGGAAAAUUUGUUACAUUGCAGGGGGAUGUCGAUCAGGUUCCUCCACAAGCUCAUCUCCACCAUAUUCGCAGAAUGGUUCAUACACACUCCAUAGCUGAAAUAUACAGUAUGCAAUUGGUUGAUUCUCAUUUACCAAAGUCUAUAUUACCCGAAGCAUCUGUUGAUAUGGAACCAGAGUUGGCCCUGUUAUUGCGCUCAUAUGCUGCUGUUUUGAUACACCCACUUCAUUGCCACCUAGUAGAGCACAAGAUCAUUAUAUUCCACUUAAAGAAGGAUCAGAACCAGUGAAAGUUAAACCAUAUCGUUAUCCUCAUAGUCAAAAAGAGGAAAUUGAAAAAUUAGUUGCGGGUAUGUUGAAAGAAGGAAUUAUUCAACCCAGCAAAAGCCCUUUCUCAUCCCCAAUAAUCCUUGUGAAGAAAAAAGAUGGUUCGUGGCGAGUGUGUACAGAUUAUAGAGCUCUUAACGCAAUAACUAUCAAGGAUAGUUUUCCAAUUCCAACAGUGGAUGAGUUGUUGGAUGAAUUAUUUGGGGCUUGUUUCUUCUCUAAAAUGGAUUUGCGGUCCGGUUAUCACCAAGUCUUAGUCGCAACCGAGGAUAGAUAUAAAACAGCUUUUCGUACACAUCAUGGUCACUUUGAGUGGCUGGUUAUGCCCUUUGGUUUAACAAAUGCUCCAGCUACAUUUCAGAGUUUAAUGAACGAUAUUUUCAAGGAAAUUUUGCGCAAAUUUGUUCUUGUAUUUUUCGAUGAUAUUCUGAUUUAUAGCUCUUCAUGGCUUGAGCACCUUCAUCAUUUGGAGGUAGUCCUGCAAAUUCUCCAACAACAUCAAUUGUAUGCUCGUUAUUCUAAAUGCUCAUUUGGAGUUAAAGAAAUAGAAUACUUGGGUCACACCAUAUCGGGAUGCGGAGUAGCAAUGGAUACAGCCAAGUUACAAGCUGUUACAGCAUGGCCUCAACCGGGUAAUUUGAAGCAAUUAAGAGGAUUCCUCGGUUUGACUGGUUAUUAUCGUCGUUUUGUGAAGAAUUAUGCUCAAAUUGCUGCCCCUUUGACUGAUCUUUUGAAGAAAAAUGCUUUUAAUUGGAAUGAUUCAGCAACAAGAGCUUUUGAGAUAUUGAAGCAAGCUUUGAUGACAGCUCCAGUACUAGCUAUUCCAAAUUUUUCUGAGCCUUUUGUGCUUGAAACUGAUGCUUCAGGGUCCGGGGUAGGAGCUGUUUUAAGUCAGAAGAACCAUCCUAUUGCUUAUUUCUCUAGGAAGUUGUCAAGCCGCAUGCAACAACAAUCAACUUAUAUGCGUGAGUUCUAUGCUAUUACAGAGGCAUUAGCAAAAUUUCGACAUUAUUUGCUUGGCCAUCACUUUGUGAUUAAAACUGAUCAAAAAAGUCUCAAAGAAUUGUUAGAGCAAAGGCUGCAAUCCCCAGAACAGCAACAAUGGUUGCCUAAAUUUAUGGGUUUUGAUUUCACUAUACAUUACAAGCCGGGAAAAGAAAAUAUUCCAGCAGAUGCUUUGUCAAGGAGUUUUAUGAUGGCAUGGUCAGAAACUUGUAAUCAAUGGUUGCGAAAGGUAGCUGUUUGCAUUCAAACAGAUGAGAAGCUUAAAGCAUUGUAUGAUCAAUGUGUGAGUAAUAAAGGGAAAUAUCAGGAAUAUGUAGUUAAAAAUGGUCUUUUGUUUUGGAAAGGGCGUGUUUGUUUACCAGUCCAGGACGACCUUAUCAAUGAAGUGCUAAAUGAAUUUCAUUCCUCCAAAGUAGGUGGGCAUGCAGGAAUAGCAAAGACUAUAGCUCGAAUAGCUUCUCAAUUUUUCUGGCCAGGUAUGCGACAAAGCAUUCGACGAUUUGUACGUGAAUGUCAAAUUUGUCAACAAGCAAAGGUGGAACAGGCUUUACCAGCAGGUUUACUUCAGCCAUUACCCAUGUGUGGGAUGAUAUUUCCAUGGAUUUUAUCACAAACUUGCCACCUUCACAUGGUUAUACUACUAUCAUGGUAGUAGUGGACAGAUUAUCCAAAUUUGGACACUUUAUUCCCUUAAAAGCCGAGUAUACCAGCAAGAUUGUGGCUGAGUCUUUUAUUCAUAAUAUUGUAAAGCUGUAUGGUGUUCCUCGAUCUAUUGUUUCUGAUCGUGACAGAAUUUUUAUUAGUUCUUUUUGGCAGCAUUUGUUCAAAGCUCAAGGAACAACUCUUGCCAUGAGCUCUUCAUAUCACCCACAAUCGGAUGGCCAAACCGAGGCUUUGAACAAGACCUUGGAGAUGUUUCUACGUUGUUUUGUGUUUGAAAAUCCAAAAGGGUGGUUUGCCAUAUUGCCAUGGGCUCAAUAUUGGUAUAAUUCAUCUUUUCAUCACAGCAUUGGAAUGUCUCCAUUUAAAGCUUUGUAUGGCAAGGAUGCACCUGCUGUCAUGCCUUAUGAAAGCAAUUCUGCAGAUCUGGUUUCGGUUCAAGAAAUGCUCCGAGAACGUGAUGCAACUUUGCAGCAAUUGAAAUUGAAUUUGAUGAAGGCCCAACAAUAUAUGAAAACACAAGCUGACAAAAGACGACGGGAUAUACAAUUAGAAAUUGGAGAUUUGGUGUUGGUCAAACUCCAACCUUAUAGACAACAUUCGGUGGCUUUAAGGAAAACACAAAAGUUGAGCAUGCGUUAUUUUGGACCUUUUGCAGUUUUGAGCAGAAUUGGAACAGUGGCUUAUAAAUUGAAAUUGCCAGAUACUGCUAGGAUUCAUCCGGUUUUCCAUAUUUCUUUACUUAAGAAAUUUAUAGGGAGUCCUUCACAGCAAUUUAUUCCUUUACCAUUGACAACUACUGAAGUGGGCCCUUCGGUUAAACCCUUCAAGAUUUUGGAUCAUCGUACCAUUAUGCGAAAUGGAAACUUACUUCAACAAGUAUUGGUGCAAUGGACUGAUUUGGAUGUGUCAGCAGCCACUUGGGAAGAUGCUGCAGAGAUAAAGGAGACUUUUCCAGAUUUUCACCUUGAGGACAAGGUGGAUUUUCAUGGAGGGAGUAUUGUCACGUGCGUGCCAAAUGAGUUGGAGAAAAACAGAAAAUUUGUUAGAGCAAGGGGACACGUGGAGCAUCAAAGAAAAAGCGUGAGGUAGAAGAAGGAAAAUGUCACAUUAAAGGACUACGUGCUGUAAGGGAGAGGAGGCUUUUUGGUACCUUCUAUUCUGUCACUCUUCCCUCUUUUCUAUAGUGAUUCUUUUUUCUCUGUUCUGAUAUAUCCACAUUCUCUGUUACCGGUGCACACUGCAGAAUGAAUGCUCGAAUUUCCUUUUCUUGAAAUUUAUAGUUGUCCUCUUUUUAAUAUAACAGUGUUUGACUUUUAUUGCGUAAAUAAAAUUACAUUCAUUCCAGACCACUCCCUAUCUCAAUGACAAAUAAAAAGCACUAGUAGCUCACCAAUCCUAAGGUUGUUGAGUAAUACAUCUAAGACGUCAACUAGGCCUAAUGGAAGACACUAUGGUUCUUCUACAAAUAGGGAAACGCCUAGCCUCCACCGCCUUCUACCGUGAGAGCGAGUAUCAGUUCGAAGACAGCUUCUCCCUCUCGAACCCCUUCGUCUUCAACGACU